ACUAGUUUCUGAUUCCUCGUGUUUUGAUGUUAGUAACAAAUGAAAAGGAACAAAAACAUGCAGAACCUGUGGAAACACACAGUGGGCUUCAUGCAACAACAACCAGAUUUAUUCUUAACAGCCUUCUGAGCCAAAGAACGUCAUCGCAGACAUUCACUCAUUUUCCACUAUCUACUAUUUAUUUCUUCUCUUAGACAACAACUCAGUUCCUGAGUGUUGUGUCCAGACCUGUUGGACCUGUCAUGAACACACAGACUGCCUGUGUUGUUCUCCACAGAGAAAUAAUAAUGCACUUGGUGGACUUGAGAAUUACAGGAGCUUUAUCUGAAUCACUGUGAGUCUGAAUAUGAUGCAGUUGUUUUAAUGAACAUAUACAACAAACACAAAGCUUCAAUCAGUCUUCUCUUCACCACACGUCUUUAUUUAUUGAUACUUUACUGAGUGUUUAACAUUUAUUGUGUUGUUUUAUUUUGAUAGUCAUAUUUCAGCAUAUGUCCUCCAGAAUAUUCUCUACUCCAACAUCUCAGUGACUGUCAUUCUUUUCACUGCAUGACGUAUUAGUCAUGGAGCUUUUUGCUGUAGACAGAUGUUUGGUUGUUUGUUUGUUUCCAUGUAACUUCGUGCAUCCUUCCUUAUUUCUGUCCCAGUGAUGAUCUGAUCAAAUAUCUCUAUAGCUGAAAAUGACCAGGUGGCAACAAUCCAUUUAAAACAAUGUAGAACACUCAUCUGAACAAGAACGACAGAGAAAAGUAGGAGAAACUUAGUCCAACAAUACAAAGAUGUUCUUCCAUGAGGCCCAUUAUUGUUGUGAAAAACUGGAAGUCUUCUUGUUAGUGUGUCUGUCUGGCUGUAAUUCUAUCAUAUCAGCUCUUGGUCGCCCUGUUUGGGCUCAAAAUAACAAGGUGACACUUUAUUUCUAAUGUUUCUGUUCAAUCAAAUAAUCCUUGUACAAAGAGGUACUGACAGAGAUUCAUUGGGACUUUUACAACAUCAAGGAUUGUUGUGGUUGGAAAAACUGGAGUUGGUAAGAGUGCAGCAGGAAACAGCAUCUGAAGGAACAAAGUUUUUCUAUCUAAGGUGUCGACGUCCUCUGUGACAACAGAGAGUCAGAAGGAAACAGGAGAGUUUGAGGGUCAAACACUGGCUGUUAUUGAUGCUCCAGGUCUGUUUGACAGCAGGAAAACUGAAGAGGAAGUGAAGACAGAGAUCAAUAAAUCCAUCUGCUUCACUGCUCCUGGUCCUCAUGUGUUCCUGGUCGUGAUCCAGAUCGACAGGUUCACUAAAGAGGAUCAAG
rnacentral:lncRNA from 1 species